GGGGCGCUUUUCGUCGCUAAUGGCAACCUUCACAAUGUUCGCUCAACGGUUAGUUGUGUUUCAAGCCAAAUAAAAGUUUUCAGUCUUUGACAAACCGAGGGACUUGACAUUUAUUCAUUUAACGAGGGGCCCCACCAAGACUAAGCUACUAUAAAACAUUGUAGACUACAGAGACCUAUUGGGGGGACAGGUUAAAAUCUUCUGUAAUUCUUUCUUACAUCUCCUCGCCGACAACAUUAGGAUGUCAACCAGAGUUUCGUCAGUUGCCUCCUUACGAUUACCAGAGAUUCAGCAUCCCUUCACAAAGUUGGGCGAUCCAGACACUUUAUCCCUCACAGGCUGUUCCACCGAUCGCACCGGGAAUCACAAUCACUUGACGCGCCGCAGCCGACCAAUGUCCGAAGAGGAGAAAAGUCUGGAUUCUGCGUUCAGAAGUCAGUCGUCGAAAGGCCUCAGAAGUCUUCGCCAGGAGAGAGCCCAACGAGCAGACAAUGGCAGUUUUAUCGUGCCUCCGCCGAUUCUUGAAGGAGUGGAGGUGAUCUUAACUCCUGACAGAGAAACACCAAGGCUGCCCAUCUUCGGUCAGAGGGUGGCGCCAGAGAGCCGCACAAAGAGCCAUGUGAGCCAGGCCAUCAGUAGUUCCGCCACAAGCUCAUCCUGUCCUGGAGCCCAGUUGAGGAUACAGGUGGAUCAGCUAGAGCAUGAGUUCAGGCAGAAGACACAAGCUGCAGGAUCCCUCAGCCUUAAGAACAUGUUCAGGAGCAACAAUCCAGAGGGGAAAGCCACAGUCAACAGGUACACGCUCACCAACAUAUACAUACUUCCACACAGUCCUAACACAUAAAAGCUCACACAUGAACACACACUGCAU
rnacentral:lncRNA from 1 species